UAAAUAAUAUGCGCAUGCGCAGAUGUUAAUUCCGCCUCGCGAAAACAUUCAAGACAAAAACACUCGAAACGAAAAUAAAAUAUUCACCACCACCUGGUUUGCCAACAUCGUCUUUACAAGGAAUGUCCAGCAGUGCAUGACAGAGGCCGGUCACUCCCAUUAAGUCCAGCUGAAGAGCCUUCCCAGUUUAUAGGACAAAAUGCAGUUACACAGAUUUUAACGGUGUUGGAAACAAUCAGAGACGAGAACAGGGAAAUGAAGCGGAUGCUGCAGCGGCUCUUGGCUAGGUCAGCUACUGAUGACGAGCCAAUGCAACUGCCAGAGAACAUCAGUCUUCCAAUUGGAACAUUUGAGCAAAUGGAUGAGUUUGAAGAGCAUCUUGGUGAUGAAGCUACGAUCCAUCUUUUCUAGGACUGCUGCAUAGUUCAAGUUUUUGUAUCAAAUAUAUUAAGCAAUGUUGUCAAUGUAAUUGACAGUUCUUUCUUCAUUAAUCCUAAACCAUUCCUUUAAGGCUCAUCUUCUAAGAAAGCAUACAAUUUUUUUUUAUCUGGAAAUGAAAUGGUAUAUAUUCCUUUGCAAAAGAAGAAACAGCAUUCCAGUUUUUAAAGGUUUUAAAAGACAUAUAUAUAUAUAUAUAUCAUGUGCAAUUACGAAAAACACUAGAAUGUAUGAAGAUAUCAAAGAUAAUAAUAUGGACUUGUUCUCGAAAAAGGAUUUGCCAUUUAUUUGAGUUUUGGAUUUUUUUGCAGGGUUUUUAAUUUCUAGUUUAUAAAAUAUUUUGUUUAGUCUUGCAAGUAUGUUUCAAAGCUCUAGAUAAGGAUUUGUGAAAUUAGUAACGGUAUUGCCACUGACAGAAAGAAAAGGAGUAACGCUGAAAAUCAAUUAGUACCUGUACUACCAUAUCCAAAAAUACGGGUAGUACUGUACUACCCGUGUUCUUGGAUAUUGAUGGGUGUAUACCUUACUUUACAGAAACAUUUGCAGCAAUUAUUAUCCCCACGCUUUUUGAAAAAAAGGUGGGGAUAUUGUGGUGAUCUCCGCCGUCCGUCCGUCUGUCCGUCCGUCUGUCCGUCCGUCCGUCCUGGCCACUAUCUCCUCCUACACUAAAAGCACUAGAACCUUGAAAUUUACACACAUGGUAGCUAUGAGCAUAUGUGCGACGGUGCACUAUUUGGAAUUUUGAUCUGACCCCUGGGUCAAAAGUUAUAGGGGUUGGGGUGGGGCCGCGUCAGAAAUUAUCACUCAUUUUUUUAGGUUAUUUUACAUUUACUUCUUUAUUUCUACACCGAUUCACUUCAAAUUGAUACUGGACCUCACCUAUGACAAUACGGUCAAUCUCAACCAUGCAUGGCCCCAUUCCCAACCCUGGGGCGCCCCGCCCACAUAGGCCACACCCACCAAAAAUUUCCAUUUACUAUAAUUUUUUCAUUUCUACACGGAUUCACUUCAAAUUGAUACUGAACUUUUGUUAUGACAUUAGGGUCAAUCUCAACUAUGCAUGGCCCCAAUCCCAACCCUGGGGCGCCCGCCCACAUAGGCCACACCCACCAAAAAAAUCCAUUUACUAUAAAAAAAAUUUAGGUUAUUUUACAUUAACUUCUUCAUUUCUACACUGAUUCACUUCAAAUUGAUACUGAACCUCUCUUAUGACAAAACGGUCAAACUCAACUAUGCAUGGCCCCGUUGCCAACCCUGGGGCGCCACGCCCACAUAGACCACACCCGCCCAAAAUUGCCUUUUACUAUAAUUUCUUCAUUAAUACACUGAUUCACUUCAAAUUGAUACUGAACCUCUCUUAUGACAAUACGGUCAAUCUCAACUAUGCAUGGCCCCAUUACCAACCCUGGGGCACCCCGCCCACAUAGGCCACACCCUCCCAAAAUUGCCUUUUACUAUAACUUCUUUAUUUUUACACCCAUUCACUUCUAAUUGAUACUGAACUUCUCUUAUGACAAUACAGUCAAUCUCAACUAUGCAUGGCCCCAUGAUCAACCCUGGGGCGCCCUUGGGUCAAACAUGCGGCGUGGGGAUACGCGUCGGCCUCUGCCGCGCCAUUUCUAGUAAUAAAUAUAUUUUGCUUCUUAAACAGUUACUUUAUUAGGUUUUCCAUUCUGAAUUAUGAUGCAAAUACAACUACACAUUAAAACUCAUGACUAAAUACUAUAACUUUAUUUUGCUUGACAAGAAAACACAAGCCAACUUGUAAGCUAAGUAAAUGAACACCAAUGUCACUGUCUCAUCUCAAAAGAAUCAUUGCUUUAGCAGUCAACUGUCAAAGUUGGCAUAGACUAUGCCAACUAUUACAGUUAAACACUCAAGCAAACACUUCAACUGGGCUUACAGAUUGAAUGUCAGAAUGGUUAGACGACCGUAUGUAGCCAUUAUAUGACAACAAAGUGUUUAUUUGAACCGCUUUCGGUUAAGCCGGCCUUCCAUGCUCGCAGACAUAUUGUUUUUGACGGGCUUACAAGUUACCGGAAUCACGCCACAGAAUAGAUAAUAAUACUGGAACCCAGUCUACAACUUUUCGGUAAUUUAAAUUAAUGAAAGAGGCCGUUAGGUUAGAGACCAACAAAUAUGCCGCCCUGACACCGACGUAUCAGUACGGCCAGAUUUUUUUCGUAAAUGCGUAAAAGGGAUAUUAAAGUCGUAAUUGUACGUCCAGUUCAUAAAAAUAAAUGCGUAAGCCUUCAUGAAAAAGCCAUAUUUACGUCUGUACGGCCCUUAUCUGGAGCUCUGAUGUUUUCUACAAAUGUUCUUUGAGUACAUGGUGUGUUAUUUGUAUUGGUUAAAGAUUUAAUAUGCAUGGGUAUGCUUUUGAGUAAUGUGUAGUACAUCAGGAAAAUACUUGAAGGUAUUCUGUAUAUGUAUUAUAUAUUAAAUAUCAAAAUAAUAGAAGUCCUUAAUUCUAUAGUUGUAUAACUGGUCAACAUAUAUAAUGUUAUAGAAAAACGUCUUAUUGCUUGAAGUUAUGUCUUUAUUGUUCCAUGAAAUAGUUUUACUGUUGGUUUGGGUUUAUAGAUUAUGAGUAACAUUACUCCAUGCGGAUAGAACAUUAGAUAGAAACAUGUUUUCGUUAGCAACUUCAUGUAAAAUAUUUUUGCUGAUGUUUCAUUCAAAAAGUUAGGAAUCACCAUAUUAUUUUAGAAUUCUCUGGUAGAAUAGUUAACGUGGGAUCCUCCUGCUAUGUAUGUAUGUAUCCAUUUAUAUGUGUGUAAUACUUUAUGUGAAUAAAAGUUGAGAGUACUUUAAUAAA